UCUUCUCUUAUUUUCUAAGCCCCACCCUAAAACAUUUGAACUCCCAGUCAUUAAUUUGCUAGGCUUCCGCACCCACAGCAAUCAUGAGCAGCUCUGGCCAUUUACCACCUAAAAGAAGGUUAGUGUCAAUUGUGAUCACUUAUGAUAGUGCACGAUAAAUAUAGACUAUAUAUUUUUAAGGGGUGCAUUUGUGAGAUAAUUGUAGAUAUUAUUAAAAUAGUUAGUUCAGCAAAUGUGUUUCCUUAUCUUGAAAGCAGUCUAUGGACAAGGGCAGAUUGCAAUCCACACUUAUAUUUGAUUAACUAGCCAGUUACAACUAAUGCUAAUAAGCAUUUUAGGACCAAAAAAUAAAAGACCUCCCUUUACCCCUUUUAAAUGUCAUGUCCAAAUCAUCUCUUAAAUUGAUUGUCACUCAAUGACUUGGUUUUACAUUAUUUUGCAAUGAUCAUGGCAUGAUUUAAUGGGAUACUUAGGCCUUUUGGCAAUGAGCCCCUUUAUCUACUUCCCCAGUCAGAUGAACUUGUAGAUACAUUUUCUAUGUCUCUGUGUCCAUCUAGUAUGAAGGAAGUUAGUGGUUGUUUCGCGAGCUGGAAGUCUAUGGGUAUCGACUAGCAUUGUAGUCAAUACCCAUGAGAGGUUGACUUGAAAGUAGUGGCAAAUGAGAGGUUAGCUUGAAAGUAUUGCCAACUGUCAUAUGUUAGCAGUGGCUAGUUAAUUGAAACCAAACUGUGGAUUACAGUCAGUUCAUAUUCACAUAUAGUAUUCAAGGAGACCAACAGCUACUUGUCUGGAAUGGAGGAAAAGAAAUGAUGGAAGCUUAAAGUCAUCAGGAACAGCAUUUAUUAGACAGGUUGUAAGGCUUUGGAGGAGUCGCCUGAGGAUGGGAGUUGACGGAAUACAACAUUACGUGAAUAUGUUGCUUCAUAGCAUCUUUUUCUUAGGUCACAUUCAUCAGGCCAGUCUUCUUCCAAAUGCCUUCUUUGAGUCUCGUGAGGGUAGGCUUGUGAUGUACGAUUUAGAAAGAAGAUUUCCACAGGCAUUCCACAAUUACAAGUAUCCACCCCACCAGACUCCAUUUUCCAAUCUUCUGACUUUGGCUGUCAGGAUUUGUCGAUGUGAAGAGGAAGAGGGAAUAAAAAGCUUUCUUCUACAUUUCCUGAAUGCAUUGGACUUGCCCCCCAGAAUAAAAGGCGAAAGUAAUUACACAAACUACUACACUCUGGAGGCCUCUACCAUAGCUUUGUGCUACAACGAAACCCCUGGACUCCGCAGACCAGUGAAGUACUAUGGAGCAUCCCUGUCCUGCAGAGGGGAGAGAGAAAAGAACAUUAUGAUCAAUUGGUCAUGUCUAAAUGUGUGGCAUGACUAUGUGUCUUAUGCAGUGUUGUCAUUCAGACAUGAUGAACAGGGAAACGGUAUCAGAUUCCCUGUCACCGUAAAAUGCAGAGCAUUCUACAGGAAUCCCCAGACCAAUUGUUAUGAAGACCGAAGGCCGUGCAAAAACUGUGGGGAUCUUUUCUCUCUCUCAAACCCUGAGAUGGACAAAAAUGACUUUCCCUACGGAAACUGUGCUGAGACAGAGUGCCUCAGUAACCUUCUAUUAGGUGAUCAUGAUGUCUGCAGCAAUAUGAGUUUUGGACACUACACAAGAGAAAAGGUCAUAGAGAAACUAUACAAGACAAAUGGUCUCAGAAAUAUGGCAGAAAACGCUUUGGAACAUUUAGGUUUCGUUUCACACGGGCAUGAUUUGCCUAGAUAAAUAAAGGUUAAAUAAAAUAAAAUGUGUUUUGUGUCACAGUGGAAACUGUUUCCACAUUUCUGAUGUGACAGGAAACUACAGAAAGGGUGUGACACUGAACUUGUUUGAAUGCAGACCAUUCAGAGAAACCAUAGCUAAAACAAUGGGCAAAUACAGACAGCAUGAUGAUAGAGCUACAAUGAUGUUACUUUAUGAGACAAAUGUAUCUUGUAAAUAUCUUGUAUCCAUCAAUAAAUGAGAAUUCUUAAAAGUUGGUUGGAUGUUUUAGUUUCCUUCCAGUUUGCUGCUAUAACUUGGACCAGAUCGCUCUGGCAAAAUACAUUUUAUCUCAAUGAGAGUAAAUUAAAGUGAAAUAAAACCGGUUUUGGGGCUAACUCAACCAUCUCAACACCAGUAACACCUACUUAGGUGAUGUAUUCCAGCCAUCCUGUAACAGGAUUGUGCCCAGGAGAACUCACUAUUCCAUGUAUUUAUUGUAAGUGGUCAUCUUUACAAGUGAAGAAUGGAGG
rnacentral:lncRNA from 1 species